rnacentral:lncRNA from 1 species
GAGACACCAGACCAGAGAAAACAUCUCAGCCAUCGAUCGAUAGAUAGAUAGAUAGAUAGAUAGAUAGAUAGAUAGAUAGAUAGAUAGAUAGAUAGAUAGAUAAACUAUCCAAAAGUGACACUAUAGAUUGGACAUUGCUGGCUAUUACUGUCACUCUUGAAAUUUCUGUUUCUGCAGCCAUAGGCCUACAAGGAAUCCCACUCUAAAACAUUUGGUGGCUAUCAUCAAAGACUAUAGAAAUACUAUCAUGCUCGGAGAAGCUUUCCUUCAUGUUCUGAACUGCACAGAAGACAUCACAAAUCAUGAUGGACGUGCUCACACACACUUACCCACCCCCACGACCCGUCCUGACCCCUGCACAAUGAAUGCCGCUGCCAGAUCUCCUCUGACACCACGAACUGUGAGAGCUGGCAGGCCCGAAUGCCUGGAAAAGCAAGGGCAGUACCGAGCCUCUGCACCCAGCAACGCUAUGCCCAUUCUCAGCUGUAGCGGGGAGGAUCACUUGGGCAUGAUGCUGUAUUGCUCCUGGUGCUGUCCCAGCUUCUGCAAGAACUAUCCAGACCUCCGGCUUGCUGGUGACCGGCUGGAGCACUGCAGUCCUCAUAACCCAGACCUGCUCAACCCAACAGACGCCGGGCCACUGCUACAAUCGCAGGACCUGAGUUCUCUGGAACCCUCUCUGGAAGCAGGUCAACAGGCAGAGGCUUUGACCCAGCAGGACGAGGAGUAUCUUGUCAUGGAAAGCGUUCAGGGUCCUGGCUGGGAGAGAAGGCUCACCAACUCCAUGUUGAACGGCUAUCUAGAAAUCCAAAUGCUGGAGGUGUUUUGUCAGCACAUGCAAAACAUGGCGUGCUGUGGAUCAUCAUUGCUGAGCACUGACGUCAUGCCGGCACUGGUGCCCACCAGCCUGACUGUAGCCAAAAGAAAAACAGCCAGUCAGGGAGAAGAGCUGGAUUCUUCAUCCAAUAAUGUUGUGCAUUAUUUAAGCGCUUGUUCAGCUCCAGCCACCUCCCACUUCAGCUCACCUGUGCUGCGAAUCUCAGAAGCUGAGUAAGCCACCUCAUGAACACACACACAGAUCCUGCCCUCAUAAAAUGUCCAAUGUUGGGCUCCUGUCUUUUGACCAACAUACAAAUAUUUUAAGUUAUCUGUGUUGUUAAAGGAAUGUUCUGCAUGCAAUACCGACAGCACUUGUGGCAUGUUGAUAACUAGUGAUUUAAAAAAAAUAUAUUCCAAUGAAGUACACAAGGCAAGGCAAUGAACAUUAACAUACAUCAUGUUUCAAAAGUAUAUAGACAUAUGAUUUAUAUAAUUUGUGUUAACAUGAGACAUAGGGACUUUGUCCAUGUAAAGUUAUACACUUAGGAUUAAAAGUUUUAAAAUUUUUUAUAAAAGAAUAAUUUUUUAUACUCACCAUGAAGGCUGCAUUUAUUUGAUCGAAAAUAAAAUAAAACCACAAUAUUGUUAAAUAUAAUUACAUUAUGUUUUUUUUUAUUUUGUUAUAAAUUUAUAAAACAAAUGAAUAUAUUCAUUAUUAAAAAUCAUUAUUUUGUGAUGGCAAAGCUGAAUUUUCAGCAGUCUUUUCAGUGGUCUUCAGUGUCACGAUCCUUCAGAAAUCAUUCUAAAAUGCAGCUUUCCCGCUCGGGAAAUAUUUCUUAUCAUCAAUUCUGAAAACAGUUGUGAUGCUUUUUGUGGAAAUUGUAAUACAUUUUUUUCCAGGAUUCUUUGAUGAAUAGACAGUUCAAAAGAACAGAAUUUAUUUUAAAUAGAAUUCUUUUAUUACAUUAUAAAUGUCUUUACUGUCACUUUUUGAUCAAUUGAAUUCUUCCUUGCUUAACCCCCCAUUGUAAAUAGUAAGUUGUAUUGUACUGCACUUUUUUUUUUGCUUCAUUUACAAAUUUUGUUGACAGUUUAAUUAAUAUUUUUCUAAAUUCAUCCUUUCCAAACCUCAGAGAAUGACAAAUUGUGUUGACAAAACAAUUGCAAGCAACUCAGAAACAUCUAAAUAUUUCUCCUCCUCUUUUUUUCUCUUUACUCAUCCACCAUCCUCCCCUAGCCUCUGCUCUUCCAUUGUAGCCUCCAUCGACAUUAAUAGCACAAGGUACUUUGGAAGAAGAGGAACCAAAGUCACACUGUCAUGUGUAUACCAUGUAUAGAUAGACGUUUAUAAAUGUUACCACUUCCUCCUAAACAGCCAAUCAACUGUUGUUUUUCUCCCUCAGUCCUGCUGCUGACUGCUACACUUUCUCUUUCCUAAAAAAGUGUUUGAAAUGAAAUUGAAACUUUAUUAACUUAUGUCCUUAGUUAUGUUGCCAUAAUUCAGUUAUAUCCAUUCUUUUCAUUAGAUGUUUGUGGUAAUGUUUCUAUAAUGUGAAACUCUUCAAUAAUUGUUAUUAAAUACUGACACCUGCUGUUCAUACUGUGGAAUGACACCCAGACGGAGCGCAAAUGCUGAUAUGUUGCUGGCGCCCUCUACUGGGAGCUUCGGGAACAGCGGCCAAUGUCCCGAUGAAAGAUUAUGUCAUACUGUCCAUGACAUUGUCCUUCACCCAGAGCUGUGAAAAUUCAAUUUUUAUGUAUUACAUCGAUGUUUAUAGCUACAAUACGCGCACUGCAUUCAAUAUGGUGUAUUAAGCAUUGCAUUUUAAUGUAGUAAUGGAUGGAAGAAAUAAAACCUAAAUGCCUUUACUGCCAUGAAUGUGCUGACAUACUGAUCUGACGUCACAUU